rnacentral:rRNA from 1 species
CCUACGGGAGGCUGCAGUGGGGAAUAUUGCACAAUGGGGGAAACCCUGAUGCAGCGACGCCGCGUGAGUGAAGAAGUAUUUCGGUAUGUAAAGCUCUAUCAGCAGGGAAGAAAAUGACGGUACCUGAUUAAGAAGCCCCGGCUAACUACGUGCCAGCAGCCGCGGUAAUACGUAGGGGGCAAGCGUUAUCCGGAUUUACUGGGUGUAAAGGGAGCGUAGACGGUUACGCAAGUCUGGAGUGAAAGGCGGGGGCCCAACCCCCGGACUGCUUUGGAAACUGUAUAACUGGAGUGUAGGAGAGGUAAGUGGAAUUCCUAGUGUAGCGGUGAAAUGCGUAGAUAUUAGGAGGAACACCAGUGGCGAAGGCGGCUUACUGGACUGUAACUGACGUUGAGGCUCGAAAGCGUGGGGAGCAAACAGGAUUAGAUACCCGGGUAGUC